UGGGGAAUAUUGGACAAUGGGGGGAACCCUGAUCCAGCCAUGCCGCGUGAACGAUGAAGGCCUUAGGGUUGUAAAGUUCUUUUGUCAGGGAAGAUAAUGACGGUACCUGAAGAAUAAGCACCGGCUAACUUCGUGCCAGCAGCCGCGGUAAUACGAAGGGUGCUAGCGUUGUUCGGAAUCACUGGGCGUAAAGCGCGCGUAGGCGGCGAUAUAAGUCAGAGGUGAAAGCCUGGAGCUCAACUCCAGAACUGCCUUUGAAACUAUAUUGCUAGAGUGUCGGAGGGGAUAGCGGAAUUGCUAAUGUAGAGGUGAAAUUCGUAGAUAUUAGCAGGAACACCGGUGGCGAAGGCGGCUAUCUGGACGACAACUGACGCUGAGGCGCGAAAGCG
rnacentral:rRNA from 1 species